CUAAUACCUCCAUCUAAUACUAUACCAGCAACACGUACAGUGGGCCUAAUACCUCCAUCUAAUACUAUACCAGCAACACGUACAGUGGGCCUAAUACCUCCAUCUAAUACCACACCAGCAACACGUACAGUGGGCCUAAUACCUCCAUCUAAUACUAUACCAGCAACACGUACAGUGGGCCUAAUACCUCCAUCUAAUACUAUACCAGCAACACGUACAGUGGGCCUAAUACCUCCAUCUAAUACUAUACCAGCAACACGUACAGUGGGCCUAAUACCUCCAUCUAAUACUAUACCAGCAACACGUACAGUGGGCCUAAUACCUCCAUCUAAUUCUAUACCAGCAACACGUACAGUGGGCCUAGUACAUCCAUCUAAUACUAUACCAGCAACACGUACAGUGGGCCUAAUACAUCCAUCUAAUACUAUACCAGCAACACGUACAGUGGGCCUAAUACAUCCAUCUAAUACUAUACCAGCAACACGUACAGUGGGCCUAAUACAUCCAUCUAAUACUAUACCAGCAACACGUACAGUGGGCCUAAUACAUCCAUCUAAUACUAUACCAGCAACACGUACAGUGGGCCUACAUAACAAACGUUACAUCACUGAUUCAAUUCAACACAACUUUAUCAAUCGCGUCAAGGGCAACCCAGAAAGCAUAGUCGGACACAGAACACAUUACUUUAGACAUUCAGACUGUACAGGUGUAGAAGUGCAAUACAUUACGUGAAACAGAACAAGUUACUCUGAGACGCUUGAUACAUACAUGUACGGCCCCUGAAGAUGUUUGUAAGACAAACAUGUUGGAUGGAUGAGAGAGGAGGUGUUAGAUGUUGUGAUUACAGGGAUGCUCCUCAGGGAGAGGAGGUGUUAGAUGUUGUGAUUACAGGGAUGCUCCUCAGGGAGAGGAGGUGUUAGAUGUGAUUACAGGGAUGCUCCUCAGGGAGAGGUGGUGUUAGAUGUUGUGAUUACAGGGAUGCUCCUCAGGGAGAGGUGGUGUUAGAUGUGAUUACAGGGAUGCUCCUCAGGGAGAGGUGGUGUUAGAUGUGAUUUGCAGAGAGGUUCUUCAGGGAGAGGUGGUGUUAGAUGUGAUUUGCAGAGAGGUUCUUCAGGGUGUGUAUUUGAUGUUAAUGUAUAUAUGUAAAAUGUGUUUAUUCUAUGCUCUCAAUUUCUAUGUCCCAUCAGUUGUGCCUUCUGUUGGUAACAAGAGCCCUUCAUGUUCUGGUCUAGAUUUAGUUAGUUCUUACUCAGAGAAACUGUAUGUGUUUUUGUGUCUUUGUGUGUGUGUGUGUGUGUGUGUGUGUGUAUAUAUAUAUUUAUACAGUACCAGUCAAAAGUUUGGACACACCUAUUCAUUCAAGGGUUUUUCUUUAUUUUUACUAUUUUCUACGUUGUAGAAUAAUAAUGUAGACAUCAAAACUAUGAAAUAACCCAUUUGGAAUCAUGUAGUAACCAAAAAGGUGUUAAACAAAUCUAAAUAUAUUUUAUAUUUUUGAUUCUUCAAAGUAGCUACCCUUUGCCUUGAUGACAGCUUUGCACACUCUUGGCAUUCUCUCAACCAGCUUCACCUGGAAUGCUUUCCCAACUGUCUUGAAGGAGUUCCCACAUUUGCUGAGCACUUGUUGGCUACUUUCCUUCACUCUGCUGUCCAACUCAUCCCAAACCACCUCAAUUGGGUUGAGAGUGGAUAAUUGUGGAGGCCAGGCUCUGAUGCAGAACUCCAUCACUCUCCUUCUUGGUCAAAUAGCCCUUACACAGCCUGGAGGUGUGUUGGGUCCUGUUGAAAAACAAAUGAUAGUCCCACUAAGCGCAAACCAGAUGGGAUGGCGUAUCGCUGCAGAAUGCUGUGGUAGCCAUGCUGGUUAAGUGUGCCUUUAAAUCAGUCGUUUCUCUUUUCUUAUUUGAGAUGUUCUUGCCAUAAUAUGGACUUGGUCUUUUACCAAAUAGGGCUAUCUUCUGUAUACCACCCCUACCUUGUCACAACACAACUGAUUGGCUCAAACGCAUUAAGAAGGAAAGAAAUUCCACAAAUUAACUUUUAACAAGGCACACCUGUUAAUUGAAAUACAUUCCAGGUGACUACCUCAUCAAGCUGGUUGAGAGAAUGCCAAGUGUGUUCAAAGCUGUCAUCAAGGCAAAGGGUGGCAACUUCGAAGAAUCUGUUUAAUUUGUUUAACACUACAUUGGUUACUACAUGAUACCAUAUGUGCUAUUUCAUAGUUUUAUGUCUUCACUAUUAUUCUAUAAUGUAGAAAAUAGUAAAAUAAAAAACGUAGAAUGAGUAGGUGUGUCCCAACUGUUGACUGGUACUGCUCAAGUGUUGUAUAACUAGUCUUCCAGAUUGACCAUCGAAGGAUAAAGUGCUAUCCUGUCCUGUUACUUGAAUUGUCUAUUUAUUUAUUUUAACCUACUAGGUUGCCAUCAACCCGGUUACCUUAUAACGUACAUAUAUAUCCAUGAACAAGAGGUAUACAUACCAUUAGGGCUGCAAAAUACCCCAAAUUCCUAGGUUUUCCAGAAAUACCCCUUGGAGGAUUCCCAGAUUUCCUCCUUAUUCCUUGCCAAUUCUAGUUUUGUUUUUCCAACCCUGGGAAUCUGGGAAAGUUUCAGGAAUUUUGCAUCCCAUCAAGGUACUUAAGAUCUGCAACAUUCUUUACUUAAGUCAAACCUUACUGUAGAAUUUUCCCAAAAUUCCCAGGUUUUCCACAAAUCCCAGCUGAAAUAUUCCUGGAAUCUGAAGGGUAUAAGCAAGAAAUCCAGGGAUACUCUUACCCGGAUUUCUGGAAAUUUUGUUCAACCCUACUGUAUAAUCUACUAUGAGGUGUUAAUAUUACAAAUAUUGUACUCAACAUUACCUACCUGUGUUUACUGUUUCAUAGAACAGUUGUGUUAUGGCAUACAGUGAAUGAAUAGAUGGAGAAAUAAAAUCCAAGGUCAAGUCAUACCUCCUUUCUUUGCCUCUUAAAGUAGCAGUUAUCAAGUUAGUAGAGAUACUUACUGUACAGACAGAGGUGUAUUAGCCUCAAACCUCAUAGGCUAAGAUCAGGAUUCAAAUGAUCGUGCUUUGUCAGCUAUGCGCCAGUAAAAAUCAAUUUCUCAAUGAGCUGACGUACGUAGAGUUUACCAUUAAUGCGGUCUCCGUGACAAGGGAACAUUGCCUUUAAAAGAUACAAUGCUGACAAAGAGCAGGCGGAUUACAUCCUAGACUAAAUAUUCUAUCCUCCAAAUACUAUACCAUAUUAUUCCAAUGGAAUACAUUAUGGAGAACUACUACAUGCAUGUACAGUGUAGACACAAAGGACAUCAACAUAAUUAUAUAUACAGUGAGGGAAUAAAGUAAUAAUAACAUACAAAUAAUAUACAAAUAAUAACACAAAGAAUAAAUACACAAUGAUUC
rnacentral:lncRNA from 1 species